rnacentral:lncRNA from 1 species
GUUCCUAAAUUACCAUUUAGCAGAAGCUAUUCCCUGAACAAUGCACGAGUGUGCCAGGAGAAAAGAAACAACUCGAAGUUACAUAUGUCCUUCAUUUGUCCUCAGGAAAACAAGAUAACCUGGUCCGUGAGGCCACAGUGGAGCCACGCGUACGCGUCAGCGUCUCAGCACCUCCCGCGCAUCCUGGCAUUCUCCAUGGCCGAGCACUGGGGCAACCCCAAAGAAGGCUAAGAUGAACUUACUUAAGCACAUGGAAGCCGCACUUGUGAAAACAAGUAAUGCCAAAUGAAAGCCAGAGGCUGGGGCCUGUUUCUGCUGCCGAAUCUUCCAGGUGCGUGGUAAGCGCGUGAGCUUCAGAUCUGCCGGACCUGCGUUCAGAUCCUGAUUCUGCCAUUCCGUGCCCAGUUUUGUAACUUUCAAUGGCAGUGGUAAUCUUACUGAUUUCACAGUGCCAGCGGAAGAAAGUGAUGGGUGUAUCUAGCUCGGCGACCAGAACACAGACAGGAUCCAACACAGCUCAGAAGAUAUCCUGCCUCACCCAAUCUCUACCAAAGGAGUCCCAGCAGAAGAGAGGUGCCUGGCCAGGGAAUUCUGCGUACCCACUGACUUCCAAAGGCCUGGGACUGCUAAGAGCUCUGACUGGCUCAUCAUCCUGAGACUGGGGAGUACGGGGGACCCACGUAGGAGAAUGCAGUGCCCCGGGGUGGAUGGCACGAAGCUCCCCAGGCCGUGACAAGGGGUCGAGGGACACGGCCUACUGAUGGUGAUGAUGCCCAGCAGGGAGAGAGCCAGCUUCAGCCUCCUCCUUCCUGAGCAGCGUCUGGAGGAGCAACGGGAAGUUGACCUUGCUCUCUCAGAGUCGGACCUGACGUAGGUCAUUUAACUUCUCACAGCAGCCCUGGGAGGUCCGUCCUUUUAUCAGCAGCCCAUUGCAGACAGGAAGAAACUAAAGGUCGAAGAAGAAACAACUUUGGUGGGCCAGGAUUUUUACCCAAAUCUCUCUUAAUUCCGCAGACCACAGAGUUCUUCUGUUC